UUAAAAACUGUGAAAAAGUAAAGUAGCAUAAAGAAAGCUUACAGAGAGAAAAGAAUUAGCUGAAAUCUUUUUAUCAAGAAUUUAUGUGAAGUGCACUUUGGAGUUGAAAUCUGAAUUAAGCAUUUUAACUGUUUAUAGUAAGAUUUUUCGGGAUCACCCGUUAUAGUGAUGAUGCAUAGAUUUGUGCUAAAUUUGAAGAGGAAUUAAAUUUUUUAUUUAAUUCAAUUAGAGUGGAACCGCGGAUAUAACUUCGUCUCUAUA
rnacentral:ncRNA from 1 species